ACAGUUUGAUCAUGGCUCAGAUUGAACGCUGGCGGCAGGCCUAACACAUGCAAGUCGAGCGGUAGAGAGAAGCUUGCUUCUCUUGAGAGCGGCGGACGGGUGAGUAAUGCCUAGGAAUCUGCCUGGUAGUGGGGGAUAACGUUCGGAAACGGACGCUAAUACCGCAUACGUCCUACGGGAGAAAGCAGGGGACCUUCGGGCCUUGCGCUAUCAGAUGAGCCUAGGUCGGAUUAGCUAGUUGGUGGGGUAAUGGCUCACCAAGGCGACGAUCCGUAACUGGUCUGAGAGGAUGAUCAGUCACACUGGAACUGAGACACGGUCCAGACUCCUACGGGAGGCAGCAGUGGGGAAUAUUGGACAAUGGGGGCAACCCUGAUCCAGCCAUGCCGCGUGUGUGAAGAAGGCCUUCGGGUUGUAAAGCACUUUUGUUGGGGAAGAAAAGCACUGGGCUAAUACCUUGGUGUCAUGACGGUACCCAAAGAAUAAGCACCGGCUAACUUCGUGCCAGCAGCCGCGGUAAUACGAAGGGUGCAAGCGUUACUCGGAAUUACUGGGCGUAAAGCGUGCGUUGGCGGUUUGUUAAGUCUGUCGUGAAAGCCCCGGGCUCAACCUGGGAAUGGCGAUGGAAACUGGCGAGCUAGAGUACGGUAGAGGAGAGUGGAAUUCCCGGUGUAGCAGUGAAAUGCGUAGAGAUCGGGAGGAACAUCAGUUGCGAAGGCGGCUCUCUGGACCAGUACUGACGCUGAGGCACGAAAGCGUGGGGAGCAAACAGGAUUAGAUACCCUGGUAGUCC
rnacentral:rRNA from 1 species